rnacentral:rRNA from 1 species
AUGCACGCUGGCGGCGUGCCUAAUACAUGCAAGUCGAGCGAACAGACGAGGAGCUUGCUCCUCUGACGUUAGCGGCGGACGGGUGAGUAACACGUGGAUAACCUACCUAUAAGACUGGGAUAACUUCGGGAAACCGGAGCUAAUACCGGAUAAUAUAUUGAACCGCAUGGUUCAAUAGUGAAAGACGAUUUUGCUGUCACUUAUAGAUGGAUCCGCGCCGCAUUAGCUAGUUGGUAAGGUAACGGCUUACCAAGGCAACGAUGCGUAGCCGACCUGAGAGGGUGAUCGGCCACACUGGAACUGAGACACGGUCCAGACUCCUACGGGAGGCAGCAGUAGGGAAUCUUCCGCAAUGGGCGAAAGCCUGACGGAGCAACGCCGCGUGAGUGAUGAAGGUCUUCGGAUCGUAAAACUCUGUUAUUAGGGAAGAACAAAUGUGUAAGUAACUAUGCACGUCUUGACGGUACCUAAUCAGAAAGCCACGGCUAACUACGUG